UGGCUGGUGGGCGAGCGCGGCAGGGAGGGGCGGGGCAGGCGUGGAGCCGCGGGUAGUCUCGCGCGGCCGUCGCGAGCGCUGGAGGAUCUUUGGUAC
rnacentral:pre_miRNA from 9 species